rnacentral:rRNA from 1 species
AAUCAGUGCUGAAAAUCGUCUCUCAUCCGCCAAAACAUCUUCGGCGUUGUAAGGUUAAGCCUCACGGUUCAUUAGUACCGGUUAGCUCAACGCAUCGCUGCGCUUACACACCCGGCCUAUCAACGUCGUCGUCUUCAACGUUCCUUCAGGAGACCUAAAGUCUCAGGGAGAACUCAUCUCGGGGCAAGUUUCGUGCUUAGAUGCUUUCAGCACUUAUCUCUUCCGCAUUUAGCUACCGGGCAGUGCCAUUGGCAUGACAACCCGAACACCAGUGAUGCGUCCACUCCGGUCCUCUCGUACUAGGAGCAGCCCCCCUCAGUUCUCCAGCGCCCACGGCAGAUAGGGACCGAACUGUCUCACGACGUUCUAAACCCAGCUCGCGUACCACUUUAAAUGGCGAACAGCCAUACCCUUGGGACCUACUUCAGCCCCAGGAUGUGAUGAGCCGACAUCGAGGUGCCAAACACCGCCGUCGAUAUGAACUCUUGGGCGGUAUCAGCCUGUUAUCCCCGGAGNNNNNNNNNNNNNNNNNNNNCCCUUCCAUUCAGAACCACCGGAUCACUAUGACCUGCUUUCGCACCUGCUCGCGCCGUCACGCUCGCAGUCAAGCUGGCUUAUGCCAUUGCACUAACCUCCUGAUGUCCGACCAGGAUUAGCCAACCUUCGUGCUCCUCCGUUACUCUUUAGGAGGAGACCGCCCCAGUCAAACUACCCACCAGACACUGUCCGCAACCCGGGUAACGGGUCCACGUUAGAACAUCAAACAUUAAAGGGUGGUAUUUCAAGGUCGGCUCCAUGCAGACUGGCGUCCACACUUCAAAGCCUCCCACCUAUCCUACACAUCAAGGCUCAAUGUUCAGUGUCAAGCUAUAGUAAAGGUUCACGGGGUCUUUCCGUCUUGCCGCGGGUACACUGCAUCUUCACAGCGAGUUCAAUUUCACUGAGUCUCGGGUGGAGACAGCCUGGCCAUCAUUACGCCAUUCGUGCAGGUCGGAACUUACCCGACAAGGAAUUUCGCUACCUUAGGACCGUUAUAGUUACGGCCGCCGUUUACCGGGGCUUCGAUCAGGAGCUUCGCUUGCGCUGACCCCAUCAAUUAACCUUCCGGCACCGGGCAGGCGUCACACCGUAUACGUCCACUUUCGUGUUUGCACAGUGCUGUGUUUUUAAUAAACAGUUGCAGCCAGCUGGUAUCUUCGACUGACUUCAGCUCCAUGAGUAAAUCACUUCACCUACGUGUCAGCGUGCCUUCUCCCGAAGUUACGGCACCAUUUUGCCUAGUUCCUUCACCCGAGUUCUCUCAAGCGCCUUGGUAUUCUCUACCUGACCACCUGUGUCGGUUUGGGGUACGAUUUGAUGUUACCUGAUGCUUAGAGGCUUUUCCUGGAAGCAGGGCAUUUGUUGCUUCAGCACCGUAGUGCCUCGUCGUCACGCCUCAGUGUUAAAGUGAACCGGAUUUACCUGGAACACACACCUACACGCUUAAACCGGGACAACCGUCGCCCGGCCAACAUAGCCUUCUCCGUCCCCCCUUCGCAGUAACACCAAGUACGGGAAUAUUAACCCGUUUCCCAUCGACUACGCCUUUCGGCCUCGCCUUAGGGGUCGACUCACCCUGCCCCGAUUAACGUUGGACAGGAACCCUUGGUCUUCCGGCGAGCGGGCUUUUCACCCGCUUUAUCGUUACUUAUGUCAGCAUUCGCACUUCUGAUACCUCCAGCAACCCUCACAGGCCNNNNNNNNNNNNNNNNNNNNCCUUCACAGGCUUACAGAACGCUCCCCUACCCAACAACACCUGAGUGUCGCUGCCGCAGCUUCGGUGCAUGGUUUAGCCCCGUUACAUCUUCCGCGCAGGCCGACUCGACCAGUGAGCUAUUACGCUUUCUUUAAAUGAUGGCUGCUUCUAAGCCAACAUCCUGGCUGUCUGGGCCUUCCCACAUCGUUUCCCACUUAACCAUGACUUUGGGACCUUAGCUGGCGGUCUGGGUUNNNNNNNNNNNNNNNNNNNNAUUCUCCGGUAUUCGCAGUUUGCAUCGGGUUGGUAAGCCGGGAUGGCCCCCUAGCCGAAACAGUGCUCUACCCCCGGAGAUGAAUUCACGAGGCGCUACCUAAAUAGCUUUCGGGGAGAACCAGCUAUCUCCCGNNNNNNNNNNNNNNNNNNNNCCCCCAGCCACAGGUCAUCCGCUAAUUUUUCAACAUUAGUCGGUUCGGUCCUCCAGUUAGUGUUACCCAACCUUCAACCUGCCCAUGGCUAGAUCACCGGGNNNNNNNNNNNNNNNNNNNNCCUGCAACUUAACGCCCGGUUAAGACUCGGUUUCCCUCCGGCUCCCCUAUACGGUUAACCUUGCUACAGAAUAUAAGUCGCUGACCCAUUAUACAAAAGGUACGCAGUCACACAGGUAAACCUGUGCUCCCACUGCUUGUACGUACACGGUUUCAGGUUCUUUUUCACUCCCCUCGCCGGGGUUCUUUUCGCCUUUCCCUCACGGUACUGGUUCACUAUCGGUCAGUCAGGAGUAUUUAGCCUUGGAGGAUGGUCCCCCCAUAUUCAGACAGGAUACCACGUGUCCCGCCCUACUCAUCGAGCUCACAGCACAUGCGCUUUUGUGUACGGGGCUGUC